rnacentral:rRNA from 1 species
AUCUAUAGAGGCGUUUUCCGCGCCGGACCGUGUAUAAGUCUCCUGGAACGGAGUAUCAAAGAGGGUGACAAUCCCGUGCUUUACACGACGACCGGUGCUAUGUGAUACGUCUUCUACGAGUCGAGUUGUUUGGGAAUGCAGCUCAAAACGGGUGGUAAACUCCAUCUAAAGCUAAAUAUUGGUGGGAGACCGAUAGCGAACAAGUACCGUGAGGGAAAGAUGAAAAGCACUUUGGAAAGAGAGUUAAACAGUAUGUGAAAUUGUUGAAAGGGAAACGAUUGAAGUCAGUCGUGUCCAUUGGGUUCAGCCGGUCCUGCCGGUCUACUCCCUUUGGACGGGUCAACAUCAGUUUUGACCGGCGGAUAAUGGCGUGAGGAACGUGGCACCCUCCGGGGUGUGUUAUAGCCUCGCGUCGCAUACGCUGGUCGAGACUGAGGAACGCAGCUCGCCUUUAUGGCC